UUGAUCUUCAAUUCUUUAGCAGCUAAUAUAUUUUCAGAUUUAUAAAUAAUUGAAAAAUGGGCUCCAAGUCGCAACUGUACAAAGGAUUUUUUACUUUCUCUGACUGCUGUCUUAUGACAACUGACAGUGACAAUAUUAAGGAAUAUCCCAGGACGAGUUUAUGCUUAACGGAACGAGCCCUAACACUAAUGUGGCUCUCGUGAG